CAAACGGCUAUUUUUAGAGCCACCAAAUAUUUCAAAGAGAUCUAAU
rfam:Ciona savignyi cont_60720, whole genome shotgun sequence.